GGCUCGGUGGUGUAGUGGUAGAGCACUCGUCCUCGGAUAGAAUGAAACGCGGGUUCGAUUCCUGCCGGAGGCCU